UACGUAGGGUGCAAGCGUUGUCCGGAAUUAUUGGGCGUAAAGAGCUCGUAGGUGGCCUGUCGCGUCGGCUGUGAAAACUCGGGGCUCAACUCCGAGCUUGCAGUCGAUACGGGCAGGCUAGAGUUCGGCAGGGGAGACUGGAAUUCCUGGUGUGCGGUGAAAUGCGCAGAUAUCAGGAGGAACACCGGUGGCGAAGGCGGGUCUCUGGGCCGAUACUGACACUGAGGAGCGAAAGCGUGGGGAGCGAACAGG
rnacentral:rRNA from 1 species